GAUGAACGCUAGCUACAGGCUUAACACAUGCAAGUCGAGGGGCAGCAUGGUCUUAGCUUGCUAAGGCCGAUGGCGACCGGCGCACGGGUGAGUAACACGUAUCCAACCUGCCGUCUACUCUUGGACAGCCUUCUGAAAGGAAGAUUAAUACAAGAUGGCAUCAUGAGUCCACAUGUUCACAUGAUUAAAGGUAUUCCGGUAGACGAUGGGGAUGCGUUCCAUUAGAUAGUAGGCGGGGUAACGGCCCACCUAGUCUUCGAUGGAUAGGGGUUCUGAGAGGAAGGUCCCCCACAUUGGUACUGAGACACGGACCAA
rnacentral:rRNA from 1 species